rnacentral:rRNA from 1 species
GACGAACGCUGGCGGCGUGCUUAACACAUGCAAGUCGAACGAUGAAGCGCUGUCUUUUUGGUGGUGUGGAUUAGUGGCGAACGGGUGAGUAAUACGCGGGCAACCUGCCCCUCUGCUUCGGGAUAAGCUUUGGAGACGGGGUCUAAUACCGGAUGUGCCUGUCUGGUCGCAUGGCUGGGCGGGGAAAAAUGUUUUUCGGCGGGGGAUGGGCUCGCGGCCUAUCAGCUUGUUGGUGGGGUGCGGCCUCGUAUUACCGCGGCUGCUGGCGGCCUGAGACCGUGUCUUUCUGGCUGGUACUGACAGGGGAUGAGACUCCCUCUCAGGCUUGUUCUUCUUUAAUUGAGAGUUUUACGAUCCCUGACCUUCUUCACUCACGUGCCGUUGCUCCGUCAGACUUUCGUCCAUUGCGGAAGAUUCCCUACUGCUGCCUCCCGUAGGAGUCUGGGGCGUGUCUCAGUCCCAGUGUGGCCGAUCACCCUCUCAGGUCGGCUACGUAUCAUUGCCUUGGUGAGCCGUUACCUCACCAACUAGCUAAUACGCCGCGGGUCCAUCCAUUGGUGGUAGCCGGAGCCACCUUUCCUUCAUAAUCACGCGAUCCCUGACACUUGAGGUAUUAUCCUCCGUUUCGACUGUACUCCCUGCUCUAAUGU